rnacentral:rRNA from 1 species
GACGUAGGGCGCGAGCGUUGUCCGGAUUUAUUGGGCGUAAAGAGCUCGUAGGCGGCUUGUUGCGUCGGGCUGUGAAAACCCGCGGCUUAACCGUGGGCUUGCAGCCGAUACGGGCAGGCUAGAGUUCGGUAGGGGAGACUGGAAUUCCUGGUGUAGCGGUGAAAUGCGCAGAUAUCAGGAGGAACACCGGUGGCGAAGGCGGGUCUCUAGUACGGUACUGACGCUGAGACGCGAAAGCGUGGGGAGCGAACAGG